rnacentral:hammerhead_ribozyme from 1 species
GCACUACUGAAGAGUCCCAUACUAGGAUGAAACGGCCGUCAAGUGU